CCAGGGAGACUGCCGGUGACAAACCGGAGGAAGGUGGGGAUGACGUCAGGUCAUCAUGGCCCUUACGGCCAGGGCUACACACGUGCUACAAUGGCGCGUACAGAGGGCUGCCAACUUGCGAGAGUGAGCCAAUCCCUUAAAACGCGUCGUAGUCCGGAUCGGAGUCUGCAACUCGACUCCGUGAAGUCGGAAUCGCCUAGUAAUCGCGAAUCAGAAUGUCGCGGUGAAUACGUUCCCGGGCCUUGUACACACCGCCCGUCACACCAUGGGAGUGGAUUGCA
rnacentral:rRNA from 1 species